AAGGGCACCACAAGAACGCGUGGAGCAUGUGGCUUAAUUUGACUCAACGCGGGAAAUCUUACCGGGUCCGGACACACUGAGGAUUGACAGGCAAUAUUAUUUAAAUGUUUAAACUUUCGGGUUUCAUUUUUAUAUGUAAAUAUGCUAGUCCUUUCAUGAUUAUGUGAUAGGUGGUGCAUGGCCGUUCUUAGUUCGUGGAGUGAUCUGUCUGCUUAAUUGCGUUUCACUAAGAGCUUAUAAAUUAACGUAUGUUUGCUCGCAUAUUUGACCCCCAUUUUUUCAUUACUACAUUUUUGUUUUUUUUUCUAAAAAUUCAAUUUUGUGUUUUGAGAAUUUGUGCGUGUUGUCAUUUAUGUUUUUAAGCAUCAUACAAUUAAGCUCUGAAAGCAACGAACGUGACCGCAACCUCUUGUUGCCUCUAAUUUCUUCGUAGUUUGGGAAUUAAAAUUUUAAUUAAUUUUUUUUUCUAUUUUUUACGAUUAAAAGAGGCUUUAAACUAGAGGGACUGCUGUAACUUUUUUAAACCAGAGGAAGGUUGCGGCAAUAACAGGUCUGUGAUGCCCUUAGAUGUUCCGGGCUGCACACGUGCUACAAUGAUUGUUGCAGUGAGCAUCUCAUUUAUAACACCGCUGUUAGCUAAUUUGGGAUCUUUCCGUUUUUCUUUUAAGAUUUACUUCGGGUAUUUCUUUUAUUGGAGAGAUGUUAAGUAUUUACUUUAUUCAGCCAAACACGGUUAAGCCUGCUUCGAAAGUAAGUAGGUAAUCAAUCCAAAGUAACGAUUUCCCAAUUUUUUAGCACAACUAUAUGCAGCGUUUAUACCCAGACAUAAGCUUGUCUUAUGUUCUUGUGUGUAUAAAUGUUUUUUUCUGCAUGUGCUUUUGUCAAUUCAAGGUGGGGACAGACCAUUGUUAAUUGUUGGUCUCGGUCUUAACUAGGAAUGCCUUGUACGGGUCUUUGGUUCAACAAACCACCCGGAAUACGUCCCUGCCCUUUGUACACACCGCCCGUCGCUCUUACCGAUGGACUUCUCUGUGAGUUUGAGGGACUGGAUAUUUAGUUUUUUUUUUUUAAAAAUUACUAAUCUUCUAUGGAAACUUAAACAAACAGUGUGGUCUAAAGGAAAGAGAAGUCGUAACAAGGCAUCG
rnacentral:rRNA from 1 species